CUCGUCUCGUGGUGUCGCCACCCGUUGUCUGGCAACCGGGCAGCCCCAUACCCGCCCCUCCUUCGCGGGACAACUUGCAGGGACUCGCCAUCAAGGCCGGCAUCGUCAAAGUGCACGAUGAUUUCUCUCGCUACGACGACCUACGUUACCGGCAUCUGGACACUUGGAGCAAACUACACUAUGCCAUAUCCAAAGUGGCGGCAGCGCGGCUGAAUUUCACGCACAAUAUCGUGUUCGCCGACCAGUGGGGCACGCGCGUCACCA